UAACUUGUGUUUAUUUGUCUAUAGUUUUAUUGACCGACCUCAGAUAGGUGUGACUACUACAUUAGUCCACUUACGAUUGCUUAACAUAGCGCUAAAUUGUCUUAUGACACACUAACAUAACCACUAAUUACUAACUUUAAUUUGAUACGAUUGCUUAACAUAGCGCUAAAUUGUCUUAUGACACACUAACAUAACCACUAAUUACUAACUUUAAUUUGAGCAUUUAAUUUCUUGCAAUUUACUUUAAUGCACUUUAUUUCUUGCUCAUUUAUUUAUAUUGCCUUUUCACUUUGCUCGCUUGAGCACAUAUUUUAUGCUUAUGUCAUUUUCCUUUUGCUCAUUUGAGCUCAUUAUUAUAUAUAAAUAUAUUGUUGCUUUGUGUUUGUUUUGUCUUUGUUUGUGUGAAUCCAAUGCAAAGAGGAGAAAGGACUUAGAAUUAGGACUUUACCUAUGCUUAAAGGAGUUCAAGAGCAACUAGGCCUCAUGCCUUUAGAAUGCUAAAUUGGUUGAAGAGAAACCAGACCUCAUGCCUUUAGAAUGCCUAAAUUUUAAAGUUGA
rnacentral:lncRNA from 1 species